AGAGAUGCUGCAGCCAGUCUCAGAGGAAGGAUCUCAGUCUCCUGGACAUAUCUGUUGCUUUCUUUCACUUGGUGAUAGACAAGCCACGAUCUCAUUUCAAAGCCUUCAGUUAGGCUAUGGGAUGCUACCUUCAAAAUCAAGCUUCUCUUAGAUCUAUAUAGAGGUGGAACACAACAUGAAGAUUGGAUAUCUAAUAUUGGCCUGAGGUUUUCUUUGUUCUGGGAAGUAAUCACUGGAGCGACUCUCUUGGUAUGACAUGCAUGGCUGCAGAGUUCCUCCCAGGAGACUGGACAGUCAAUGGAGUCCCUCAUGCCACAAUGGAUUCACUCAUCUCUUUUAGCACUCAGGAAUUCUACAAAUUUGAUCUUUAAGAAAAUGAUGAAGAUGAGUAUGAAUAGCUUGAAGACAGCAUAAUACCUUAAGCCAAGGCCCAAGCCUUGCACAGUGCCCAACACUAAGUAAACACAUGUGUUUAUCAACUAUAAGGAACUAUGGAAACAUUGUCAGGGAUACAAAGAGCACGAAAACAACUUUGGGAUCCUGACCAGAAUGAAGAGAAGAGAAGAGAAGAGGUCUCAGAUUGCAUGCUUGGUAGUAAGGGGUCUCUCCACCCAGCCUCUACCUCUCAGUCUCA
rnacentral:lncRNA from 1 species